AUUGAACGCUGGCGGCAUGCCUUACACAUGCAAGUCGAACGGCAGCGGACCUUCGGGUGCCGGCGAGUGGCGAACGGGUGAGUAAUGCAUCGGAACGUACCUUUCAGUGGGGGAUAACGUAGCGAAAGUUACGCUAAUACCGCAUAUUCUGUGAGCAGGAAAGCAGGGGAUCGCGAGACCUUGCGCUCAUUGAGCGGCCGAGGUCAGAGUCGCUAGUUGGUGAGGUAAAGGCUCACCAAGGCGACGAUCUGUAGCGGGUCUGAGAGGAUGAUCCGCCACACUGGGACUGAGACACGGCCCAGACUCCUACGGGAGGCAGCAGUGGGGAAUUUUGGACAAUGGGGGCAACCCUGGUCCAGCCAUGUCGCGUGAGUGAAGAAGGCCUUCGGGUUGUAAAGCUCUUUCGGCCGGGAAGAAAUCGCACAGGCUAAUACCUUGUGUGGAUGACGGUACCGGAAUAAGAAGCACCGGCUAACUACGUGCCAGCCGCCGCCGUAA
rnacentral:rRNA from 1 species